UCAGUGUGACCUGACGCAAACUUUAUUAAUGUUCUUAUUACUAUCUAGCAACAUAUAACAUUAUAUCUGACAACAUUACAAGUUUUGGCAACAUAAGAUUACAUAAAUAUCGAUAACAAUGUGGUAUUUAUUACAAUUAAUUAAAAAAUUUUUUUUUUUCUUGCUUUAAUUUAAUUUUAUUUUAAGAUUAAGCUCAGGUUAGCCCGCUCGGCCGAGUGGCUGCUGGUCCGGCCACCGAGGAUGCGUUGCCUGUGGAUUGGCUCGAUCAACCGAGUGGCUGCUGGUCCGGCCACCCGGGAUGCGUAUGGGUCUGGAGGAUGUUUUGACUUUUGAUGUGCGGAGAAUUUGGUUUGCUGCAGAUUUGGUUUAUAUUUUAUAGGUUUGGUG
rnacentral:sRNA from 15 species